UACGUAGGGUGCAAGCGUUAAUCGGAAUUACUGGGCGUAAAGCGUGCGCAGGCGGUUUUGUAAGUCUGACGUGAAAGCCCCGGGCUCAACCUGGGAAUUGCGUUGGAGACUGCAAGGCUUGAAUCUGGCAGAGGGGGGUAGAAUUCCACGUGUAGCAGUGAAAUGCGUAGAGAUGUGGAGGAACACCGAAGGCGAAGGCAGCCCCCUGGGUCAAGAUUGACGCUCAUGCACGAAAGCGUGGGGAGCAAACAGG
rnacentral:rRNA from 1 species